UAAUAUGAUAUUAUUGGCAGAGGCGCGCGACCAUCUCAUGCUUUGUGGUCACGUGAUUAUUCAACCGGAGACGCGCGUUAGGGAUUUUCUCCUCAGACCAGUGUUUCUGUUUUGUGGUCGAUUCUGGGAUCCUUUUCUUGGUGUGUCUUGAUGUUUUCUAUUGGCUAAAGACAUGUCUCUGUGAAACUGACAAUCUCAGGUAGGAGCUGCUGGUUUGUGGUUGGCAGUAUGGAUCACAGUCUGCGACUCAUGAGGAGCUGGGCUGGAGACAUGAAGAGGUUGUUAACAGGUGAAGAGGUCUGAAGCUAAUACCUGCCACUGUCUGAUUGGUAUUUCAUUAGGAAUCACGGGUUCCUUGGUAUUUGAAUUAUGUUGAACCAGGCCAUCCAUCCAAGAUCAUCUAUCUGAGCUGCUGAAAACUGCCUCGGUACGGAUCUGUUGGAGCUUUGUGUCACUGACUGUAUUUCUGAAAAUUCCUGUUCCGUGUCAAAUGGCUUAUGCAAGACUGAAUCCAUAAAGGGGAUGGUCUGUGGAGACUGUGGGCGAUUCCUUCUGCUGUCAUUUAAACAUGAGCAGGAGUAAUGACGGGAUUUAAAUGGACGAAGCUAAUAUUAUGCCAGAGUCCGCUGCUUAUGCUGUAACCAUAAAGCAACCAGGACAACACAUGGAGUGACCGAGAGCAGGAUGAAGAAAGAAUCGGACGAGAAAAUAUCAACUGGUGCCCAUGAGGAGACAUAUUGUUCUUGGACCUGCUUUUUCUGUUUAGUAAUAAGUGGUUUUAUGUGGUUACAUAAAAGUAAUUUAAUAUUCAAUCCACAAGCUAAAUUUCCUACAUUUUCUUAAAAGGGUAGUUGACCCAAAAAGGAAAAUUCUGUCAUUUACACAAACAGUUUGGUUACAAACAUUUCUCACAAUAUCUGCCUUCCUGUUUAUCAGAACAAAGAAAUGUAUGCGGGUUUGUAACAACAUGAGAGUGUGUAAAUGACAUAAUUUUCAUUUUUGGGUGAAGUACCCCUUUAACAUUUUUAUACACAGGGGUAGGGGUGUGCAGCGGAGUCAGUAUUUGUAUCUCUAACAGUCUCAAAAUUAUUUGUAUCUGUAUUUGUAUUCGGAUUAAACCGGAAGUGGGUGGGUUGACAACUCAUAUUACAUUAAAAUGGCAUUUUAAAUGCAUUUUUGCUUUUUAUUAUAAUUAUAACUUAAAUAACUGUAAAUAUUUAUUCAAAAUAAUAAUACAAAAUUUUAAUCAAAAAGACAAAUAACUUUAUUCUUGUUAGUAAUACUCAUGGAAAGCAAACAACUCAUUUUUAA